AUCCCGCGUGAGGGAUCGACGUGGAAAUCCUUUGGGUUGGAGCGAGGCGGCGAAGCGUAGCGGAGCCGUCCGAGCGACAAGCCCAAAGAUUGCAACAAAGAGCCCGACCCGAG
rnacentral:sRNA from 1 species